rnacentral:rRNA from 1 species
GAUGAACGCUGGCGGCGUGCUUAACACAUACAAGGCGAACGAAGCACUCUAUUUGAUUUUCUUCGGAAAUGAAGAUUUUGUGACUGAGUGGCGGACGGGUAAGUAACGCGUGGGUAACCUGCCUCAUACAGGGGGAUAACAGUUGGAAACGACUGCUAAUACCGCAUAAGCGCACAGUAUUGCAUGAUACAGUGUGAAAAACUCCGGUGGUAUGAGAUGGACCCGCGUCUGAUUAGCUAGUUGGUGGGGCAACGGCCUACCAAGGCGACGAUCAGUAGCCGACCUGAGAGGGUGACCGGCCACAUUGGGACUGAGACACGGCCCAAACUCCUACGGGAGGCAGCAGUGGGGAAUAUUGCACAAUGGGGGAAACCCUGAUGCAGCGACGCCGCGUGAACGAAGAAGUAUUUCGGUAUGUAAAGUUCUAUCAGCAGGGAAGAUAAUGACGGUACCUGACUAAGAAGCACCGGCUAAAUACGUGCCAGCCGCCGCGGUAA